ACCCCGAUACAUAAAGUGCUAUGCCUUAGCACCUUUCUUUGUUUAUCAGCUCGUACCAUGGUAAUGGUGCAUGCAACAGUUCUGUUCGCCGGCUGCCUACGGCUGGCGUGAACCCUAUGGGGUUGAGAAGCUCUGUUUUUUUGUGGCUAGGUAGGCCGGCGGCGGCGGGUUGUGAACUCGUAGAAGAAGCAGGGGAGAAACGGAGCAGUUAACGUUGAUGAAUCUGGGGGUCAGUAUGAAGAGGGCUUCGAAGAUCUUCAAGAGUGAUCAUUACAUUUGAAAUAAUAGCGUCAGUGCAUUCUUCAACCGAGACAUGAAUCUGCUGGCUAUUUAUAAGAAUUGAAUCUCUCAAAUUCAUAUCAUACCGUUGGAGCAACUGUACAAGGCUGCAAAAUAUGAAGAGAAGAAUUUAUUAGUUCCAAAGUUAAAAAUGCCAGAUUUGCAGGGACCAUAGAAGUUUACUGGCUUCAGAAGGUAUCUCUUGUUCUCAGGAACCAAAAAUGUUGCAGGAUAGACUAUUUAGAUUGUUCUUACCUCUCUAUCAUCAUUUCCUUCGCCUUCUGCGCCAAAAUCGUCGACGCUGAACACUUUCUGAAGAUUAAUGGCAGGAGAAGGAACCUCAACAUGAGAGUUGAACUGUUGAGUGAACAAAGGUGACAUGGUACGACAAUGGAGUCUGUGAACAGAAAUUAAGACAAAGGAGACCAAAAGAAGAUUUCGUGAAUCCAUUUGCAUGUUUCAGAACAAAGUAGUCAGAGAUUAUGUGUGGCUUAAAAUGUUUGAAGCAGAACCGAUACAGUUAUGACUAUGGAAUUAUGUUCAUGUUGAUAUGCUUUUAUACACAAACAUGUCAUACGUUUAUUCUUCACUUUUCUUAGAGAGAGAAAGAGAUAGAGAUAGAGAGAGAGAGAGAGAGGACAUUUAUGGUGAGAUAUCUAAGUUUAGGUGAUGUUCGGCAAGAGCAAGAAGGUAUGUUGUUGAGAAAAGAUGAUGUAGACGAAAGGAUUGCUAACAUCAUACUUUUUUUACUUUCACGUCUAAAAUAUGAUGUAAUUGUGUUAGGAAAUGGGUGAAUAAUUCCUUCUUACCUUAUUAGUGUUGUCACUGACCUUUCCAUA